UAAAGAGUUCUUAGCUCCAGUUAUUACUCCUUUUGAAGCAAUGAUUGCUUUCGGCAGAGGAAGCGAAUGGACUGGGGCUUAUGUGACAGAAUUUCGGGAUUUGAUUACUUCUUCCCCCAUGGAAGCGAAAAACCAGUCAGAAGCUCGGUUUUCUUUCAUUCAGGGCGGAUACGUGGAAGAUGUUGAACAGCAAGAGGUUGAAGAAGUUGAAGAUGGAGUUUCUGCUUUAGUGAACAUCACAGAGAAGGCUUUGCGUGUUCGUGACAAAGACUCACAAACUCUAAUGCCCGGAACAGCUAAAUCUGGUGCAGAGUACUUCGCGACUAGGUCAUAUCACGGCCUUGACAUUCAUCCUGAAAAUAAUUUCUCCGAGCCGUUUUUGAUUGGUAAAAGUGGGAGGGCAUCAGGAUACAGGAAUGAAACUGCACAAAAAAGUUAGCAAUUGGAACCACUAUACGCAUUAAGAUGAAUUUGUGGAAGAUGCAGCAGACAUACAAAGCCACUCUAAAUGAUUUGUAACAUCAGCAGCUAUUUAUGCCUUUUGGUCUCAAAUGGCUAUUUUUUGUUUCUUCAGUCAUUAUGUGUAUAUAUAGUUUUGAUGAUCUUACUACCUAUAAAUUUCUUUUUGACAAUUUUGG
rnacentral:misc_RNA from 1 species